rnacentral:antisense_RNA from 1 species
GGCGUUUGCAACAGAAGAUUACCGCGCUCUUUGAUGUCACCACCGAUAUGAUAGGGCAAUCCACAAUUGGCAAAAGAGAUAAACGGACCGCGUUCGAAUAUGACGAUUUGUGCUGUUUCACUGAGACGGCGUGCCCGGGCGGCUGCCGAAGCACCGCCGGCAACACCAC